GACGAACGCUGGCGGCGUGCCUAACACAUGCAAGUCGAACGAGGUCCAAGGAAGCUUGCUUCCUGACGACCUAGUGGCGAACGGGUGAGUAACACGUGAGAAACCUGCCUCGGAGUGGGGAAUAACUCGGGGAAACUCGAGCUAAUACCGCAUGGCUUCACAUGAUCGCAUGGUCGAGUGAAGAAAGAAUUUCGCUCUGGGAGGGUCUCGCGGCCUAUCAGCUUGUUGGUGGGGUAACGGCCCACCAAGGCAACGACGGGUAGCUGGUUUGAGAGAACGAUCAGCCACACUGGGACUGAGACACGGCCCAGACUCCUACGGGAGGCAGCAGUGGGGAAUCUUGCGCAAUGGGCGAAAGCCUGACGCAGCAACGCCGCGUGCGGGAUGACGGCCUUCGUGGUUGUAAACCGCUUUCAGCAGGGACGAAAAUGACGGUACCUGCAGAAGAAGCCCCGGCUAACUACGUGCCAGCCGCCGCCGUAA
rnacentral:rRNA from 1 species